CGCGGGAUUCGGACGGGGUGCAGCAGGUGCGCAACCUUUACAAUGCACUAACGUGUGAUAAGGGGACUCUAAGUGCUCAUACAUUGUAUGGGCUUUUGCAUAGGGUAAAUACCUAUGCGAAUAAGUGGUGGGAAAGACUGGUGCCAGCCGCCGCGGUAACACCAGCGCCACGAGUGGGAAUCGUAAUUAUUGGGCCUAAAGCGUCCGUAGCCGGCUUGUUAAAUUUCCUGUGAAAUUAUCCAGCUUAACUGGAUAGCGUGCAGGAAAGACUGGCAAGCUAGGGACCGGGAGGAGCGUGAGGUAUUCCUUGGGGAGCGGUAAAAUGUUAUAAUCCUUGGAAGACCACCUGUGGCGAAGGCGUCACGCUAGAACGGAUCCGACGGUGAGGGACGAAAGCUAGGGUAGCAAUCCGGAUUAGAUACCCGAGUAGUCCUAGCUGUAAACGCUGCGAGCUAGGUGUUGCACAUUCUUCGAGAAUGUGCAGUAUCGAAGCGAAGGUGAUAAGCUCGCCGCCUGGGGAGUACGGUCGCAAGGCUGAAACUUAAAGGAAUUGGCGGGGGAGCACAACAAGGGGUGCGGCGUGCGGUUUAAUUGAACUCAACGCCGGAAAUCUCACCAGCAGCGACGGCAGAAUGAAGGUCAGAUUGAAGGUUUUACCUGACAAGCCGAGAGGUGGUGCAUGGCCGUCGUCAGCUCGUGCCGUAAGGUGUCCUGCUAAGUCAGGUAACGAGCGAGACCUGUACCCACAAUUGCUAGCCUUCUUUUUGAGGGGGUGCACAGUGUGGGAACUGCCUUGGAAACAAGGAGGAAGGUGCAGGCAACGAUAGGUCUGUAUGCCCCGAAUCUGCUGGGCUACACGCGCGCAACAAUGGUACGGACAAUGGGAUGCAACUCCGAAAGGAGAAGCUAAACCUCGAAACCGUACCUUAGUUCAGAUUGAGGUUUGUAACUCAGCCUCAUGACGCCGGAAUCCCUAGUAAUCAGAUGUCAUCAUCGUCCGGUGAAUAUGUCCCUGCUCCUUGCACGAGAUUAACCGAAUCACUAGU
rnacentral:rRNA from 1 species